AACUGCAAUAGCUCAUGCAUUACAGCAUGAGACUCUUAAUUUCAAGGUCAUGGGUUCAAGCCCCAGGUUGAGUGA